UAUAAAUUUUACGUGUUUUUGAGGCUUAAAUGUGGAGAUUAUGUGGUCGGCGAAUUUAUUUCCUUGUUUGGCAUCAUUUAGAUUGUUUAGAUGCUUUAAGUUAAGAGAUUAGGAAGCAUCCCAACACGAUACCGCCUCAAAGUCAAUAAACCUGCAUUUUAGUAGAUUUUUAUUUAUUUAUUUUUUUUAUGCAUAACAAGGCAGGUAUUUGACCACAAUCGCACAUGAUGUUAAGAGGGAUGCAGUCUAGGAUGGUACAUAUCUGCCCUGUAAGAUACCUACUUAUGUGACAAAUUGCCGGAAAGAUAGUCUUAUGGCAACAAAAAGAGUGUCCUUGGAACACAAGGCAAGUACAUAAUUUAUUCAUACAUUCUGUCUACUCUACAUACCACAUGAUUUCUUUGUCAUUUGAUAGAUAAUAAUUAUUACAGGUUAUAUUAUGUGCUAUGCAUUAAGAUGCAUCCAGUUCAUACCAAGGCACUGAUGGUAUGAAGAAGCAUUUGGAAUUACUUAACCAAUGCUCUCAAUACCCCCAACAUACUCGGAGAAGUAGGUACCUACCCUACCCAAACCUUACAAAGAUCCAGCUCCGGCACAGAAUAAGUAAUAGGACUAAGGUUCCUAGGCACACUUAAGAAAUACCA